ensembl:rRNA 5S_rRNA 5S ribosomal RNA
GUGUACAGACAAACCAGCUGAAGAAUGCCCAAUCUUGUUUGAUCUCAGAAACUAAGAAGGCUUGGGCCUGGCUAGUACUUGGAUGGGAGACUACCUGGGAAUACCAGGUGCUGUAAGCU